UGGUGCGAUCAUACCAGCACUAAUGCACUAGAUCCCAUCAGAAAUUUGCAGUUAAGCGUGCUUGAACGAGAGUAGUACUAGGAUGGAGACCUCCUUGGAAGUCCUCGUGUUGGACCCC
rfam:Gossypium arboreum cultivar AKA8401 contig_48127_1, whole genome shotgun sequence.